UAGGGAAUCUUCGGCAAUGGGGGGAACCCUGACCGAGCAACGCCGCGUGAGUGAAGAAGGUUUUCGGAUCGUAAAGCUCUGUUGUUAGAGAAGAACGUGUGUGAGAGUGGAAAGUUCACACAGUGACGGUAACUAACCAGAAAGGGACGGCUAACUACGUGCCAGCAGCCGCGGUAAUACGUAGGUCCCGAGCGUUGUCCGGAUUUAUUGGGCGUAAAGCGAGCGCAGGCGGUUCUGUAAGUCUGAAGUUAAAGGCAGUGGCUUAACCAUUGUACGCUUUGGAAACUGCAGGACUUGAGUGCAGAAGGGGAGAGUGGAAUUCCAUGUGUAGCGGUGAAAUGCGUAGAUAUAUGGAGGAACACCGGUGGCGAAAGCGGCUCUCUGGUCUGUAACUGACGCUGAGGCUCGAAAGCGUGGGGAGCAAACAG
rnacentral:rRNA from 1 species